rnacentral:rRNA from 1 species
GAUGAACGCUAGCGACAGGCCUAACACAUGCAAGUCGAGGGGCAGCAUGAAAUUAGCUUGCUAAUUUUGAUGGCGACCGGCGCACGGGUGAGUAACACGUAUGCAACCUGCCUGUAAGCGGGGGAUAACCCGGAGAAAUUCGGACUAAUACCGCAUAAUAUCAUUGAUUCGCAUGUUUUAAUGAUGAAAAAUUUAUUUCUUACAGAUGGGCAUGCGUAUGAUUAGCUAGUUGGCGGGGUAACGGCCCACCAAGGCGACGAUCAUUAGGGGUUCUGAGAGGAAGGUCCCCCACAUUGGAACUGAGACACGGUCCAAACUCCUACGGGAGGCAGCAGUGAGGAAUAUUGGUCAAUGGACGCAAGUCUGAACCAGCCAUGUCGCGUGAAGGAUGACUGUCCUAUGGAUUGUAAACUUCUUUUAUAUGGGGAUAAAGUGUGGGACUUGUCUCAUUUUGCAUGUACCAUAUGAAUAAGCAUCGGCUAACUCCGUGCCAGCAGCCGCCGUAAAAC